CUUGUACCCCCUCCGUCCCAAAAUUCUUGUCUUAGAUUUGUCUAAAUACGGAUGUAUCAAUUGAUACGAGACAAGAAUUUUGGGACGGAGGGAGUAUAAC
rfam:Triticum aestivum genome assembly, contig: Triticum_aestivum_CS42_TGACv1_scaffold_434964_5DL